rnacentral:rRNA from 1 species
CGGGGGCAGUCUCCUGGAACGGAGCGCCGGAKAAGGUGAGAGCCCUGUACCACCUGGGGAUCCGCCGUCGGACGAAGCGCCUUCGACGAGUCGAGUUGUUUGGGAAUGCAGCUCUAAGCGGGAGGUAAAUUUCUUCUAAGGCUAAAUACCGGCCAGAGACCGAUAGCGCACAAGUAGAGUGAUCGAAAGAUGAAAAGCACUUUGGAAAGAGAGUCAAACAGCACGUGAAAUUGUUGAAAGGGAAGCUCUUGCUGCCAGACAUGCCGCGGUCGCUCAGCCGCCCCCCGGGGCGGUGUACUCGGCCGCGGCGGGCCAGCGUCAGUUCGGGCGGUCGGAGAAAGGCCCGGGGAACGUAGCUCCCUCCGGGGAGUGUUAUAGCCCCGGGCGGCAUGCGGCCAGCCCGGUCUGAGGCCCGCGUUCGCGAGGACGCUGGCGUAAUGGUCGCAAGCGACCCGUCUUGAAACACGGACCAAGGAGUCUAACAUCUGUGCGAGUGUUCGGGUGUCAAACCCGUGCGCGUAAUGAAAGUGAACGGAGGUGGGACCCCCGUCCGGGGCGCACCAUCGACCGAUCCUGAUGUCUUCGGAUGGAUUUGAGUAGGAGCAUAGCUGUUGGGACCCGAAAGGGGGCUUAGAAACAACCCGCAGCCAGAUUCCCCGGCGAGGACCCCUGGGUCCCGCCGGCGGCAUCCAGUCCACAGGCUAUACGGUGACGGGCGGAGGUCUUGUACCCCCGGCUCAAGAUAUAGUCGAAUCCCCCUGCAGAGGGGGGUAAACCCCCGGGCCUGUGGCCCGCGGAGGCGGCGGUAGAACCAAAGAAUCUUGCUAGUAGCUGGUUCCCGCCGAAGUUUCCCUCAGGAUAGCAGUAACGUCCGCAGUUUUAUGAGGUAAAGCGAAUGAUUAGAGGCCUUGGGGUUGAAACAACCUUAACCUAUUCUCAAACUUUAAAUAUGUAAGAAGCCCUUGUUGCUUAAUUGAACGUGGGCCGUCGAAUGCACCGUUACUAGUGGGCCAUUUUUGGUAAGCAGAACUGGCGAUGCGGGAUGAACCGAACGCGAGGUUAAGGUGCCGGACUGCACGCUCAUCAGACACCACAAAAGGUGUUAGUUCAUCCAGACAGCCGGACGGUGGCCAUGGAAGUCGGAAUCCGCUAAGGAGUGUGUAACAACUCACCGGCCGAAUGAACUAGCCCUGAAAAUGGAUGGCGCUUAAGCGUGCGACCCAUACCUCGCCGCCGGGGCAGGACCGACGCCCCGGCGAGUAGGCGGGCGCGGGGGC